CCUACGGGAGGCUGCAGUGGGGAAUAUUGGACAAUGGGCGAAAGCCUGAUCCAGCCAUGCCGCGUGUGUGAAGAAGGCCUUCGGGUUGUAAAGCACUUUCAGUGGGGAAGAAAGCCUUGGGGCUAAUACCCUCGAGGAAGGACAUCACCCACAGAAGAAGCACCGGCUAACUCCGUGCCAGCAGCCGCGGUAAUACGGAGGGUGCGAGCGUUAAUCGGAAUUACUGGGCGUAAAGCGCGCGUAGGCGGUCUGAUAAGCCGGUUGUGAAAGCCCCGGGCUCAACCUGGGAACGGCAUCCGGAACUGUCAGGCUAGAGUGCAGGAGAGGAAGGUAGAAUUCCCGGUGUAGCGGUGAAAUGCGUAGAGAUCGGGAGGAAUACCAGUGGCGAAGGCAGCCUUCUGGACUGACACUGACGCUGAGGUGCGAAAGCGUGGGUAGCAAACAGGAUUAGAUACCCCAGUAGUC
rnacentral:rRNA from 1 species